ACUCAAAUGAAUUGACGGGGAGGCGCACAAGCAGUGGAGCAUGUGGUUUAAUUCGAGACAAAGCGAAAAACCUCACCAGGAUUUGACAUGUAUCUGCAAAUCCCGUGAAAGCGGGACUCUUUCGAAGGUGAUACACAGAUGCUGCAUGGCUGUCGUCAGCUCGUGGCGUGAGCUGUACCCUUAAGUGGGACAACGAGCGCAACCCACACUAUAUGUUAAAUAAUUCAUAUGGAACAGCUCCGAGUGAUCGGAGAGGAAGGCGUGGAUGACGUCAAGUCAGCACGGCUCUUACAUCCUGGGCUACACACAUCCUACAAUGGCUAGAACAACGAGCAGCAAGCCGGUAACGGCAAGCAAAUCUCUUAAAUUUAGCCUCAGUUCAGAUCGAGGUCUGCAACUUGACCUCGUGAAGUCGGAAUUGCUAGUAAUCGCGAAUCAGCAGGUCGCGGUGAAUACGUUCUCGCCUCUUGUACACACCGCCCGU
rnacentral:rRNA from 1 species